AUGGAGCAGCUACCGGAUGGAAUCCAUCUUGCUGAGUCAGAAAGUGAGCAUAUACCUCCUCCACUUAUAGUUACUGGAGAGCACACAAUGCAGGUACAGGAGAAGCCUUGUGGCUACAAAUUAAAGGGGGUAUCCAACAGAGUGGCAGGUGAUAUGUACAGCAAGGGCUUAGUGACCUUUGAUAAAAUCUGGCAGUUGGAUGACACACUUCUGAGGUCAAAGUCACUACAGCUAAAAGAACUAUGUUUUUCAUUCGCAUUAUUUAAACUGCUACGCUGUCGAAUUGCAAGGUACACAAUUACUGAGGUUGGUUUCAUCAAGGGCCGUAACUUCUUGCAACAAAUGUUGCUUGAGGAUAAUGAUGGUGAAAGAGUACUUGCAGCGAUUGCACAUGAGCUUUCUUUUCUUCAUGACUAUUAUUAUUCAUCCCUUCCAAUCACAUAUUCACGAAGUUGGCUGCCAAUCGUGAGCAUAUUCAUUUCACUACUAAGCAUCUGCUACUGCUUAGUUGUCUUGAGAACUGUAACACUUUCUGCCAUUCUCAUGGUCAACUUGCCUAGAACAAAAGGGCAGAUUAAUUGUUAUGUGUCCUGUAGCAAGAUUUCUUCGGCCACAAGGGGAAGCUCAAUAUUUUUUGGAAAUUUAUACUUUGCUAACAUGCCAUUGCUUAUACUUGCUGUAUUAGUUAUGCUUGGCGAGGUGAGGGACAUUGCAUCUUACAUCUGCUCUAACUGGACUAAAGUAGCCUUGGUAUGUCAGUAUGUGAAGCAUGGUUCUUUGCGAAAAUCUGCUACCAUGCAGAGAUGUGUUAGUUGUGUGCUAUGGAUCAAAGGCAGGUUCACAAGGAAUUCAGAGGACAAAAUGAGUCAGUCCUCAAUUUUGGUGCUCCAUCCAAGGAAAACUCCAAUGGCUCUUCUUCGAUGUCUUCAUCUGGCAGGCCAAAACAAAAAGACACCAAGUGCAGUGAAAUCUGCUAUUGUCAGCGCACUUAGAAACAGCUACAAGAGAGGACAAAUCAGUGGUGAUGUGCCGUCUUUCCAAAGGAUCCUACAUUUGCAAGACGACAACAAGAUAAUUUGGAAAUUUGGGGAAAGAAGUACAGCCCAAAUCAUGCUUGUGUGUCACAUUGCCACAGAAAUCCUUGGAGCAAGGUCACGACCGCAUCUACCUCCGUCCAACUCUGACCAUAUGUCCGCUGCCAAUCACCUAUCGCAGUAUUGCACCUACCUGGUGGCACACUGUCCUGAGCUACUUCCUGAAGAUGAUGAAUGGUGCAAGAGCCUGUACAAGGCCAUCAAGAAGGAUGCCAAGCGUGUACUCAGCGGUAAUGAUUUUAGGGAGUCAAUGACAUCUGAGCUGGAGUACCGGAAGAGGUUGAUUGAGUUUCUGAGUGCAGAGGGUAACCAUGAGGUGCUCAAGGAUGGCGCGAGGCUUGCAGAGAAAUUGGUUGGGCUAACUGAAGAAGCAGAGGAGAUGGCAUGGAAGGCCCUCGCUGUCUUUUGGUCAGAGAUGAUCCUGUAUGUUGCUCCAUCAGACAACACUGACGGGCAUUUGAAGGCGAUCGCCCGUGGCGGCGAGCUGAUAACUCUCAUUUGGGCUUUGGUCACCCACCUCUGCAUAGUCGGUAGGUCCGAUGACAUCAUUGAUAGUGCUACCAUUGAUGUUUAA
rnacentral:rRNA from 1 species